GACAGAGGGUGCAAACGUUGUUCGGAAUUACUGGGCGUAAAGCGUGUGUAGGCGGUCUCAUAAGUCGGAUGUGAAAGCCCCGGGCUCAACCCGGGAAGUGCAUUCGAAACUGCGAGGCUAGAGUAUCGGAGAGGUUGGUGGAAUUCUCGGUGUAGAGGUGAAAUUCGUAGAUAUCGAGAGGAACACCGGUGGCGAAGGCGGUUCUCUGGGCCUUACCUGACGCUGAGGAGCGAAAGCGUGGGUAGCAAACGGG
rnacentral:rRNA from 1 species